rnacentral:rRNA from 1 species
AGUGAACGCUGGCGGUAGGCCUAACACAUGCAAGUCGAACGGCAGCACAGUAAGAGCUUGCUCUUACGGGUGGCGAGUGGCGGACGGGUGAGGAAUACAUCGGAAUCUACUUUUACGUGGGGGAUAACGUAGGGAAACUUACGCCAAUACCGCAUACGACCUACGGGUGAAAGCAGGGGAUCUUCGGACCUUGCGCGAUUGAAUGAGCCGAUGUCGGAUUAGCUAGUUGGCGGGGUAAAGGCCCACCAAGGCGACGAUCCGUAGCUGGUCUGAGAGGAUGAUCAGCCACACUGGAACUGAGACACGGUCCAGACUCCUACGGGAGGCAGCAGUGGGGAAUAUUGGACAAUGGGCGCAAGCCUGAUCCAGCCAUACCGCGUGGGUGAAGAAGGCCUUCGGGUUGUAAAGCCCUUUUGUUGGGAAAGAAAAGCAGCAGGUUAAUACCCCGCUGUUCUGACGGUACCCAAAGAAUAAGCACCGGCUAACUUCGUG